UCAGAAGUGAACUGCAUUUAAUAUAGUCUCUUAACUGGCACCAGUUUCAGAACCAGGGAUGCAGAAAUCUUGAGUAAGUGUGCUACUGGCAGUUAGUAGGCAUCUAGUAGGAUUGUGUUAUUUAGUUAUUCUUGACACUUGUUGAGAUGACAAUUUCUUGGUGCUUUUACUGAGUGGUGCAAGUACUUUCCCAGAACAUGCUUGGAGAUUGAUCCUACCCCAAGCCCCUGUUCACCUGGACAAACCUAGGAUGUAGUAGGGAAACAAUUAAUUGAAUGCAAUUUAUAAGCAUCUUUCUUUAUCCUGGAGAUAACUGACUUACACACUGAAAUAUCUGCAGAAUUUGAGGAAAGAGCACCAAACUUUGAAUCCCUGUGGAAGGACCCCUAUAGCUCUAAGCAAGAUGAAGCCUUCCUCUUGCAUCCAUACUGUUCAGGGAAUCUCAGCACAUAGCAUUGUGGCAUCCAUGGUUUUCUGAGGGUGAUUCCUAAGAAAUCACUGGAACCAGAAGAUCCUGAAAUGUGGAGUCAAAAUGGGACAAGGUGAAAAACUGUCAAUCAGUUAAUAAGAAGGUACUUAUGCACAACAGAUAAGCUGAAGAUCCACUGCAUUUACAAUAACUUGUUUGUCCAUUUCUAACCUACUGUCCAUCCAAAUGAAACAUUGAAUACAUCACAAACUCAAAAAACCACGUGACGUAGUGACACUGGCUCUCAGUCACAGGGUUUCUGACAGGAGCAAAACACGGGGUAUGGAUUGUAGUUGAGGUCUCAGCAGCUUCAUAUGUUUUAAAAGCCAGUUCUCAUACAAGUGGCUCAAAGGCUCAAGUACUUCAAACAAAGCAUUUAAAACUUACAUAUGGGCUGCAUCCUCAGAGUAAUAAUAACUGAUAAUUAGUUCCAAGGAAGCAAUUUAAACAAAUGCAUAGAAAAAGACUGUAUUUUUCAAAAAGCAUCACAUGUUAAUCGCUUCUUCCAAGGCUGAACAUUUUCA
rnacentral:lncRNA from 1 species